rnacentral:lncRNA from 1 species
CCAAAAUGAACCUCUGCUGGUCACGCUUGAGAAUGUCUCCUAGGUUCCUUAAGCAAACUGAGCCGCCACAGGUGCCCAAAAGCAUGUACUCCAUGUCCCCAGAACUGAGGAAUUUGAAAGAUGAAAUAAGAAGUGGCUCCAGCUGGAACUCAUGUCUUGUGUCCUGGAACAUAAUUUUCGUAAGAGAGGAGUAGCACGGGCACAAGAAAUACGGAUGUGUUCCCUCUUCCGUGUCAGCCAACUGUCUGCUCUAGAAGAAGGUAAGUAAUAUCCUAAGAUAGUAACAUGACACUA